GAGACUUAUGGUCAGUGCAAGACCCAGAGGUUUUCAUUCCAGCUCCCAUUAUCAAGAGAAGGUGUAAAUAGCCCAUCGUCCUCACCCAUUUCUGUGCUGUGGAAUCCCUGGUUGCAGAGUAUUUCAAAGUAUACUGAUCAUAGGUUGAUAGCGGUAAAGGAUAAAAUUGGGAGUGUACAUGAAAAGGUAAAAUCUGUUCUUCCUACUCAGAUGAUUCAUUGUAGUAAUCAGCAUCGGGUGGAUUCUCAUCACUUGGAGACUCACUCAUGUCUUGCCGGAGCUCUUACAAAGUGUUGCUAAGGCUCAAGACCAAAUGGAAGCUGACAAGUUUGGGACUUCCACCCUCUGCAGCCAUGGCCGGAGCUCUGUGUUGGCCCCUUUCAACCACAGCUGGAGUGGCUGGGACACAGGGCACCAAGUCACUAGGCUGCACAUAGUAUGGGGACCCUGGGCCCAGCCCACAAAACCGUGUUUUCUUCCUGGGCCUCCAGACCUGUGAUGCGAGGGGCUGCUGGGAAGUUCUUUGACAUGGCCUGGAGACAUUUUCCCCAUGGUCUUGGGGAUUAACGUUAGGCUCCUUGCUACUUAUGCAAAUGUCUGCAGCUGGCUUGAAUUUCUCCCAGAAAAUGGGUUUUUGUUUUCUAUCACAUAGUCAGGCUGCAAAUUUUCCAAACUUUUAUGCUCUGCUUCCCUUAUAAAACCAAAUGCCUUUAACAGCACCCAAGUUACCUCUUGAAUACUUUGCUGCUUAGAAAUUUCUUUCUCCAGAUAUUCUAAAUCAUCUGUCUCAAGUUAAAGUUCCAUAAAUCUCUAGGGCAGGGGCAAAAUGCUGCCAGUCUGUUUGCUAAAACAUAAUAAGAGUGACCUUUGCUCCACUUCCCAACAAGUUCCUCAUCACCAUCAGAGACCGCCUCAGCCUGAAUUUUAUUGUCCAUAUCACUAUCAGCAUUUUGGUCAAAGCCAUUCAACAAAUCUCUAGGAGGUUCCCAACUACCCCACAUUUUCCUGUCUUCUUCUGAGCCCUCCAAACUGUUCCAACCUCUGCCUGUUACCCAAUUCCAAAGUUGCUUCCACAUUUUCAGGUAUCUUUUCAGCAACACCCCACUCUACUGGUACCAAUUUACUGUAUUAGUUAAUUUUCAUGCUGCCGAUAAAGACAUACCCGAGACUGGGAAGAAAGGAGGUUUAAUUUGACUUAACUUCCACAUGGCUGGGGAGGUCUCAUAAUCAUGGCAGAAGGUGAAAGGCACUUCUUACGUGGUAGCAGCAAGAGAGCAAAAAUGAGGAAAAAGCAAAAGCAGAAACCCCUAAUAAACCCAUCAGAUCUCCUGAGAUUUAUUCACUAUCAUGAGAAUAGCACAGGAAAAGACCAGCCCCCGUGAUUCAAUUACCUUCCCCUGGGUCCCUCCCACAACACGUGGGAAUUCUGGGAGAUACAAUUCAAGGUGAGAUUUCAGUGGGGACACAGCCAAACCAUAUUACAUGUAUUUGAGAAAUUUUACAUGAUAUGGGAGGCUUCAUAAGGAAAUGUAGAUGCAAUGAAACAGGGAAAUCUGCAUACGUUGUAAGCUAAGUGUGAUGAAGAAAAGGAUAGUUGUAGAGAAACGUGAUUGGACAAAAAGAGAUAUGAUCUAAUGACAAUAAACUGGGGAAAAUUCAGCAAGGCCUGCUUGUCUCCGAUUGUUUUCUGUGUCUCUGUGUCUUCAGAGAUGAGGGCAUUCCUUUCCUCCUGGUAUGAGGAGGACCCCUCUAGAAUGAGAAUUUAUGACCUAUUUUCAGGGAAAAGUCACAUAUGGCUUGCUUCGUGGGAAAAGGGGCAAGGGAAAUCCAGUUUCUAAGGCCUGCCUCAGGAGAGGAUGGGGGGAAGGUCAAAGAGACCUACUCUUCUGUGGUUUUCUCAGUUUCCUUCAGCUUAAAAUCCUCAGCAUGCCAAGGUGCCAUAUUUUGGGAUAGUAGGUUCUAUGUCCUGGCAGUAGCUACUGGUUAUAUGUGGCUAUUGAGCAAUUAGAAUGAGGCUUGCUUGAAUUGAGAUGUGGUAAAGUGUAAAAUACUGGACUUUGAUAUCUUACUAUGAGAAAAAAAGAAUGUAAAAAUACCUCAAGUUAA
rnacentral:lncRNA from 1 species